UACGGAGGGUGCAAGCGUUAUCCGGAUUCACUUGGGUUUAAAGGGUAGCGUAGGAGGGCAGGUUAAGUCAGUGGUGAAAUCCUGGGGCUUAACCCCACGACUGCCGUUGACUUACUAAUCGGGUCUUGAAUGUCGUGGAGGUGAGCGGAAUAUGUCAGUGUAGCGGUGAAUGCUUAGAUAAUGACAUAGAACACCAAUUGCGA
rnacentral:rRNA from 1 species